rnacentral:rRNA from 1 species
AGAGUUUGAUCAUGGCUCAGGAUGAACGCUGGCGGCGUGCCUAAUACAUGCAAGUCGAACGCUUCGACUUCGGUGAAGAGUGGCGAACGGGUUGAGUAAUACAUAAGUAACCUGGCAUCUACAGGGGGAUAACUGAUGGAAACGUCAGCUAAGACCGCAUAGGUGUAGAGAUCGCAUGAACUCUAUAUGAAAAGUGCUACGGGACUGGUAGAUGAUGGACUUAUGGGCGCAUUAGCUUGUUGGUAGGGUAACGGCCUACCAAGGCGACGAUGCGUAGCCGACCUGAGAGGGUGACCGGCCACCACUGGGACUGAGACACGGCCCAGACUCCUACGGGAGGCAGCA